UACAGAGGUCCCAAGCGUUGUUCGGAUUCAUUGGGCGUAAAGGGUGCGUAGGCGGCGCGGGAAGUCGGGUGUGAAAUCUCGGAGCUUAACUCCGAAACUGCAUUCGAUACUGCCGUGCUUGAGGACUGGAGAGGAGACUGGAAUUUACGGUGUAGCGGUGAAAUGCGUAGAUAUCGUAAGGAAGACCAGUGGCGAAGGCGGCAUCCUGGACCAACACUGACGCUGAGGAGCGAAAGCCAGGGGAGCAAACGGG
rnacentral:rRNA from 1 species